GUUCAUUAGACUGACUGUAUUAUUUGUUUUUGGAAGCACUGGCACCCACAAUUGUCCUCACCACGCCGGAAAUAAAAGAAGGCAGUUUCUACCUCACAACAGGUGGGAUCCAGAAAGGAACUUUUUAAAUUUAGGAAAAUGGACACUGCACAGCUGAGCAUUUCUUCAGGACCGAUACAGCAUGGUGGGAGGACCCAGGUAUCAUUGAAAUCUGAUGUAAGGAUAUAAGUAAUCGGCUAGAUUCUCUGGCCUUGCUAAGCUGUUCUUGGCACAAGACCAACAGAGCGUGGGAGGCAAAACAGGUGAUCUCCUAGGAACUUGAAGAACUUCAAAGACAAUUGAGGGAGGGUCUUGGGAGGGGGAAUGAAUAAAGGACAAAAGGCAGCACAAAAGAUUUGAACUACACAAACAAUCUACACAAAUGUAAUAUUGGUAGAAGUCCACGGCACUGAAAACACUGCCAAGUGGGAAGGGAAAAGGAAGUGAACCAAAGGACAGGGCUUGAUAGCACAAGUGCUUUGAGUUGGGUGUAGAUUAACUUCAGCCAGCUGUCAGAGAAGUCACUGCACCUCCUAACCCAUUGCAAAAAUUGUGUAGGGCAGGGUUGGGCAAAGGGGAUGCUACAGCAUCUCCUUUAUCAAAAAGACCACCUAGGGAUGAGGCCUAAGGGGUCCAAAUAACCAGCGGAGUGAUGAUAAAAGCCCUAAACUAAUUCCCUAAUAAAAACAUUUCACCCGUUUCAAAACUGAGAGGUAGUAGGGUGCUAAAGGGAUAAUGGAAGUGUCUUCCCCCAAAAGAAUAACAUAUUGGGCUGCCUUUCUUUCUAUGAUUUUAUUAUUGAUAUUUCUCUUAUAUGGCUUCACCUUAUUUCUAUGAUUUUUUGCUGUAUAUAUAGAUAUCCAUAGAGAGGGAUUAAAGACAUAGGACUAAAUUCUUCUUUCUGGUGCAAUGGGGUAAACUCAGAGUAACCCCAUUGACUUCAUCUGGAUAACAGAGCAAAAUUUGCUCCUUGAAGCCCAAUACUGCAGCCUUUUCUUAUGCAAGUUGUGACGAACUGGGAAUGUUUUUAAUGUUUUCUCUGAAUACUGUGUGGGUGCCUCAGUUUUCCCUAUGCAUUUCUUAAGUAUCUAGGUGGUGG